UGACAUUUUCAAUGAUAUCCAAGAUAGAGAGAGAUCCAAUUACCCAAGUUUACCCAAACACCAGCGUCAGGUGUGAUAAAUUUACUCCUAUUUCAGCACAUUUACUUUACUUGGCUCUCGUUUUAUGAAAAUAUUCAUUUGAAUGCCAGUGCUUUAACAUAACAAAUUUUGUGACAAAAAAUAAAAAUACCAUUAUAAAUAGGAACAAUUAAGAAAUUAAGACAUAACAUUAUUAAAGUGUUGUAAUAUAUAUGGUUUUAAAGAUGUUUGGUUUAGUCUACUUUAAAAAGGUGGUUUAGUCUACUUUGAAAAGGAUAGUACACUUGUAAGUGUGCGACAAAAUCUCAGAGACUUGACAUUCGAAGUUUUCAAGCGAAAAUCAAAAUGUUCCAUGAAAUGGGGCGCAGAAGACGAUGAGGAAAGAAUUAUUAUUACCAGAGAUGGUUCAACUGAUGGAACAUUAUCCAACCACAAUAAAAAGAUUUGGAAUGCGCAAGUUUUGCAGUGCUGCCUUUUACCUGAUGGUGAAACUUAGUUCCGGCCAUAAAUCCGAGGGAGACACAAGAACGGUCAAGAGGUCAGGUUCUGGCGGGGAACAAGCAUGACAUAAAGCCUGUGCUUGAUGCCGUCAUCAUUUCUGCCUGCAAAGGUUAUGUCUGGAUGUGGUGCAAAGACCACAGCAAAACAGUGCCAGAUGACACCUCUUUCAACAAGGCAGUGACACUCCAAAUAGACUACUCCAGG